rfam:Triticum urartu cultivar G1812 contig356375, whole genome shotgun sequence.
UAUAUACUACCUCCGUCCUAAAAUUCUUGUCUUAAAUUUGUCUAAAUACAGAUGUAUCAAGUCAUGUUUUAGUACCAGAUACAUCCCUAUCUAGACGAAUCUAAAACAAGAAUUUUGAGACGGAGGGAGUACAUA